UUCAUUUCCUCUGAAGCACCAGAACUUUAAGGAGUUUUUCUCUUUUUUUAACCACAAAACUUAAAAAUGUAAUUUUUUCACUAUGCUUUACAACAGCGAUGAGCAAAUAAACAAAGUGACUUUUUCUUUUGCAAAGUCAGAAAAAAAAAAAAAAUGCUGCAAAGGAGGGUGUCCAUGGUGUCUCAGAGGAAUCCACUUGGGAAUAACACUGAUAUCCACAGAAGCUUUAUGGGAUCUGCAGCUGGAUGUUCUGAGGCCUGUGCUUGAAGGAGAACUGAUUCACCAGAAACAUCUGCUGCCAUGGCCCUUCUUUCCAAGCAGCUGUGCCUCGUGGGGUGUCCCACAUUCAGGAAUUCAGAUUAGGAAGAGGUAAAGGAAGGUUAAACAGGUGAGUCACGGUGGGCUGGAGAAUUGAAGAAUAAUCUUCUCUGAGUCGUAGGUGGGUGAAAUUCUUGCAACAUCUGAGUUGCAGAGGGCUGGAGACUUUUCUGGUCCUCUCCCUCUAUUCACCUCUCUAUUAAAAACUCC
rnacentral:lncRNA from 1 species